rnacentral:rRNA from 1 species
AGAGUUUGAUCCUGGCUCAGGAUGAACGCUGGCGGCGUGCUUAACACAUGCAAGUCGAACGAGCCUUCGGGCUAGUGGCGGACGGGUGAGUAACGCGUGGGAAUCUGCCCUCAGGAGGGGGAUAACGGCCGGAAACGGCCGCUAAUACCCCAUAUGCCGAGAGGUGAAAUGAAUUUCGCCUGAGGAUGAGCCCGCGUCUGAUUAGCUAGUUGGUGUGGUAAUGGCGCACCAAGGCUUCGAUCAGUAGCUGGUCUGAGAGGAUGAUCAGCCACACUGGGACUGAGACACGGCCCAGACUCCUACGGGAGGCAGCAGUGGGGAAUUUUCCGCAAUGGGCGCAAGCCUGACGGAGCAACGCCGCGUGAGGGACGAAGGCCUCUGGGCUGUAAACCUCUUUUCUCAAGGAAGAAGACAUGACGGUACUUGAGGAAUAAGCCACGGCUAAUUCCGUGCCAGCAGCCGCGGUAAUACGGGAGUGGCAAGCGUUAUCCGGAAUUAUUGGGCGUAAAGCGUCCGCAGGCGGCCCAGCAAGUCUGUUGUUAAAAAGUGGAG